rnacentral:tRNA from 1 species
AGAAUAGUAUUUUAAUAAAAAAAAACUAAUCUGCAAUUAGAAAAUGCUUAAUGCCUAUUCU